UACGUAGGGUGCGAGCGUUGUCCGGAAUUACUGGGCGUAAAGAGCUCGUAGGUGGUUUGUCGCGUUGUUCGUGAAAACUCACAGCUUAACUGUGGGCGUGCGGGCGAUACGGGCAGACUGGAGUACUGCAGGGGAGACUGGAAUUCCUGGUGUAGCGGUGGAAUGCGCAGAUAUCAGGAGGAACACCGGUGGCGAAGGCGGGUCUCUGGGCAGUAACUGACGCUGAGGAGCGAAAGCGUGGGGAGCGAAACAGG
rnacentral:rRNA from 1 species